CUUUUAUCCAUUUAGCUUCUUCAAUUUCUGUUCUGCCCACUUUAAAAGAAGACCAUCGGCCCUGAGGUCAGAGUGAGCUGUUGUUUAACUCUGUGCUCGUUUGCAUUGGUCCAUCCUUACAUUCAUGUAGAAAAAUUUCAUCCAGAAAAGUGACACAGAGGCAGCUGAAAUCCAGCUGCAGAAAUCAUUUUCGGUUGCUCUCUGACUCGGGUAAACAAUGCUCCCUGUCACCUUAUCCCUUUGACGAGUACUUCGGAUCCAGGAUAAUCCUGCUCAUUACACUUCUUCCAAGUUAAUCAGCUAAUGUCGUUUUCUGUGAAGAAGAGGUCUUCGUGAGUCCUGGUGAGAGAAGAUUUGGGAAGGCAGAGAGCAGCAGGGAAAGCUUCCAGGGAUGGUAUCAGCUG
rnacentral:lncRNA from 1 species